rnacentral:rRNA from 1 species
GAUGAACGCUGGCGGCGUGCCUAACACAUGCAAGUCGAACGGAGUCCAGCCUUAGAGACCUUCGGGUCAAAGAGGGGAAGCCUGAGUGGCGGACGGGUGAGUAACACGUGGGCAACCUGGCUCAUAGAGGGGGAUAACAGAGAGAAAUUUCUGCUAAUACCGCAUAAGCACACACUGCCGCAUGGCAGAGUGUGAAAAGAGAAUCGCUAUGAGAUGGACCCGCGUCUGAUUAGCCAGUUGGCAGGGUAAGAGCCUACCAAAGCGACGAUCAGUAGCCGAUUUGAGAGGAUGAACGGCCACAUUGGGACUGAGACACGGCCCAAACUCCUACGGGAGGCAGCAGUGGGGGAUAUUGCACAAUGGGGGGAACCCUGAUGCAGCGACGCCGCGUGAGUGAAGAAGUAUUUCGGUAUGUAAAGCUCUAUCAGCAGGGAAGAUAAUGACAGUACCUGAAUAAGAAGCCCCGGCUAACUACGUG